rnacentral:rRNA from 1 species
GACGAACGCUGGCGGCGUGGAUUAGGCAUGCAAGUCGAACGGUAUCAUCCUUUCGGGGGUGAGAGAGUGGCGAACUGGUGAGUAACACGUAGGUUAUCUACCCUCAAGACGGGGACAACCCAGGGAAACUUGGGCUAAUACCGGAUGUGAGCAACUUUUAGUUGUUUGAAAGGUGGCGUAAGCUGUCGCUUGGGGAUGAGCCUGCGUCCUAUUAGUUAGUUGGUGAGGUAACGGCUCACCUAGGCAAUGAUAGGUAGGCGGCCUUAACGGGUGGUCGCCCACACUGGGAUUGAGAUACGGCCCAGACUCCUACGGGAGGCAGCAGUCGAGAAUAGUCUACAAUGGUCGGAAGACUGAUAGUGCGACGCCGCGUGAACGAUGAAUCCCUUCGGGGUGUAAAGUUCUUUUAUAUGUGAGCAGUGCUUCUUAUAUUAACAGUAUGGGGAAGAGAUAUUAGCAUAUGAAUAAGCAACGGCUAAACUCCGUGCCAGCAGCCGGGUAAAACG